rnacentral:misc_RNA from 1 species
GUCGACCUCUUCGGUGAAUCUCUGGUCAGGGCAUCAAAAUGGGUCAGCUGGAACACAUUCAAAAUAAAUUACACUCAUCAGUACAAAUGGGAAUAAUGGGACCGGGGAUCAAUGAUCCUGCAUUGCAGGAGAUGGCAAUGAUGGGGCUGGGUUCCACUGAUACACAAUCACUUCAGAUCUCAGUAUCAAGCAACCAGGCACAGCCACUGGAAAAUGUAAAUAUGGCUGAUAACUGUGUCUUGCAGAAAUUCUCAGUAUCAAACAUGCAAAUGGGACAGAUGGAUCCACAGGCAUACAGUCUGGCAUCAGAACAGUUCUUGUUACCUAGCAAGCAACUGGGAGAGAUGGAAACCUUGCAUGUUGAGCAGUGUGGGAUCCCAGCAGCCAUCAAUGUUGAGCAAGCGAAAGGCACCUGUAGAACCCACAUUCAGUAAUCCUGGGUUGCAGAAGUUAUCAAUGCCUAACAAGCGGGUUGCACAGAUAGAGAAUAGGCCAUGGCUGCAGAAAAUGUCUGCACCAAAUAAAUUACCAGUGCAGAUGCAAUCCCAGUCCAUUUCUAACAAUUCAGGUUUGCAGCGUUCACAAGCACCAUCUAAGAGAUCAACAUCUACCAAAGCUGGUCUGCAGCAGUUACCAGUUCAGAAAAACCAAAGUGGACAACGAUCUCCAAUGCUUCAAAAUGUGUCUUCCAAUUCUGUAAGGUCCAAGCUAAGGGAGUCAUUAGCAGCAGCUCUAGCAUUGGUUUCUCGGCGG